rnacentral:lncRNA from 1 species
CGGCAUAUGGAGGUUCCCAGGCUAGGGGUCUAAUUGGAGCUGUAGCCGCUGGCCUACGCCAGAGCCAUAGCAACGCAGGAUCCGAGCUGCAUGGGCGACCUACACCACAGCUCACGGCAACACCAGAUCCUUAACCCACUGAGCAAGGUCAGGGACCGAACCUCCAACCUCAUGGUUCCUAGUCGGAUUCGUUAACCACUGUGCCACGAUGGGAACUCCGUAAAAAUUUAUUUUUGAUCAUACUCUGGCCCACUUGUUAUAGCAUCCACUGAUGAUUCCUGUCCAAAGGCACUGGAUUAGAUUCCUUCUGAAAUCCCAUUCAACUCAAACAUCCUAUCCCAUGAUUCUAACAAUUUAAAUUAAGGAUUUCACCUUAAUCUGGUUAAACUUGGAAAUUUUGGACAGCAAGACUACAUGGAGGAAGUAGUUUACAUAAACACUCCACUGAUGAAAAUUUCACAACACUGAAACAUUUAAGGAUGUUCUUUAGCUAAGCAAGCAAACCUGAAAUAUAAGGAGACUUACAUACAAAUUCGUUCUACAGUCUCUCUUACGUAAAUUUAUGGUGGGACAUUAAUAAGUGUACAGGAAAAAACAAUCAUAUGAUUCUCCAUAGAUGAAGAAAAUACACAACUAGAGAUUCUCAUAUUAAGUGAAGUAAAUCAAAAAGAGAAAAAUAGGAGUUUCCAUUGUGGUGCAGCAGAAUAAAAUCCUACUAGUAUCCAUGAGGAUGUGGUUUCAAUCCCUGGCUUCGAUCAGUGGGCUGGGGAUCCGGCAUUGCCAUGAGCGGUGGUGGAGGUAGCAAACUCGGCUGGGAUCCCACAUUGCUGUGGCUGUGGUGUUGGCCAGCAGCUAUAGCUCUGAAGCAACCCCUAGCCUGGGAAUUUCCAUAUGCCAAGGGUGCAGCCCUAAAAAGCAAAAAGAUAGAAAGACAAAUACCAUGUGCUAUCACUUUCAUGUGAAAUCUAAUAUAUGGCACAAAUCGAUCUAUCUACAGAACAGAAAUAGACUCACAGACACAGAGAACAGACUUGUGGUUGCCGAGGGGGAAGGGGAAGGAGUGCAAUGUACUGGGAAUUUGAGGUUAGUAGAUGCAAAUUAUUACAUUUAGAAUAGAUAAACAAUGCGUUCCUGCUCUAUAGCACAGAGAACU